GCCAGGUGCUGUGGUGUACACCUGUAAUCCCAGCUGCUCAGGAGACUGAGACAGGAGGAUCAGGAGUUCACAGCCAGCCUCAGCAAAAGAGAGGGGCUAAGCAAUUCAGUUAGACCCUGUCUCUA
rnacentral:sRNA from 1 species